UACGUAGGGUGCGAGCGUUGUCCGGAAUUACUGGGCGUAAAGAGCUCGUAGGCGGUUUGUCGCGUCGUCCGUGAAAACUUGGGGCUCAACCCCAAGCUUGCGGGCGAUACGGGCAGACUUGAGUACUGCAGGGGAGGACUGGAAUUCCUGGUGUAGCGGUGGAAUGCGCAGAUAUCAGGAGGAACACCGAUGGCGAAGGCAGAUCUCUGGCCGUAACUGACGCUGAGGAGCGAAAGCGUGGGAGCGAACAGG
rnacentral:rRNA from 1 species